AUUUUACUUAGAGGGUAACUGACAGCCAUUAAUCCUGCCCUGAGGACUUACACCACCUCGUUUUUCUAACAGCUCUUCAGUCUCCACUAUGGAUAAGCUAGGUGGGCAGAUGCUCCUGCGAAGAUCAAAGGAGAGAGGACAGCUGGCACCGGCACGGCGUUGACAGAGUUGGGGACACACAGAGUGGAGACAAGAGAGGCUGACUCUGGCAGAAAGGAGACAACACAGUUCUAUGCGCCAGGAUUUCCAGGGUCCCCUCCAUGGCCUGGCUCUCGGUGGGAAGCAAACAAGAAAAAGAACUUGUGUGCGGAUGGAGAGC
rnacentral:lncRNA from 1 species